rnacentral:rRNA from 1 species
AUUGAACGCUGGCGGCAGGCCUAACACAUGCAAGUCGAACGGUAACACGAAGCGGCUUGCUGCUUUCCUGACGCGUGGCGCAGGGGUGAGUAGUGUCCGGGAAACUGCACUAUUUAGGGGGGGAACAACUGGAAACGGUAGCGAAUAUAGCAUAUCGUACCUACAGCUAAGAGCAGGAGCUCAUCGCAUCUUGCGAUAGUAUAUGCCCCGAUGUCGGAUUAGCUAGUUGGCGGGGUAAGGGCCCACCAAGGCGACGAUCCGUAGCUGGUCUGAGAGGAUGAUCAGCCACACUGGAACUGAGACACGGUCCAGACUCCUACGGGAGGCAGCAGUGGGGAAUAUUGCACAAUGGGCGCAAGCCUGAUGCAGCCAUGCCGCGUGUAUGAAGAAGGCCUUCGGGUUGUAAAGUACUUUUAGUGGGGAGGAAGGGAGGCAAGUUAAUACCUCUGCUCAUUGACGUUACCCGAAGAAGAAGCACCGGCUAACUUCGUG